UUAGGGAUGAUUGCAUCACAAAACUCAGAGUUCUUAAGCUCUACAGGGUGGGAGCUUUUUAAAGUGAGACAUUCAGAAGCUUAAUCUAACCUAAGGAAGUGGGGAAAACUAAGAUUGUAAACUUCAAUUCACUUUUUGAGUAGAUGAUCUGUUCCUGGGAAACAACUCUCGGAUGGGAAGCUGGGCUUGUUUGUCUGAAGGAGGAGCCUUCAGGGUGAUGUUGCUGAGCUGCAAGGGCAGCUCUGUCAUAGCUGGAUGCAGUAACCACUAUCAGAGGCAGAAGGAUGUCUCUUCUUCAUACACUGACUAAUCUUGGUCUGCUGUUUGAAGAGGAAGCUGUGAAUAAGAAUAGCACAAGAAGAUAAACAGCUACUUCAAAACAAAUUUUUCCAGCUCUCUUCCAAAUACAAAACGUUAUUGCUAUGUGCUGUGCUGCAAUUGAAGGCAACUUGGUUGUGACAGUUCAUGAGGCAAGCAUCAAAGAGCAAUUAGUGUCGGCACUGCAAAGCUGAACUAAUGUAAGAUCUGACUUCAUGUCAACAAAUGCACCAACAAUCAUGGCAGAGAUUUGCAUCUGUGAAGGCUGCGAUGGAAGCCCACCACCACUGAUUCUGGGAGUAGGAAGGAUCACUAACUCACCCUCAGCCCAUUGCAAAACCCUCUUGUUUUGGCAGGAAGGAGUAUUGAUCAGUCAGACUUCCCAUAGGUCCAGCACAGGUGAAGCUGGCAGGAAGCCCACAGCCGUUUUGUUCUUCACAGCCGUCUGCUGCUCAAGGCAACUGCUUGUUUUGCUCCUACCUGGAGCUGGCCGUGAAAAUUGACUGCCAUUAAAGACAGCCCACAUAGCACAUUUGUCAGUUUAAUUAAAUUAGCUUAAGAUCUCAUCUGCUAAAUAGAUGCAGCUUUCUUACAUAUUCAAGGGCUUUUUUUCAAGGGCUCUGUGUACAGCAUUGAGCCUGCCAGGGCUCUGACCUCACUGGGCAUCUUGAAGCAGAAUCAGGUGCUGACUAAAUACAGUUUUAUUUAGGGUGAAAGCACAUGUCCUUUGACUUAAGAUAAUGGUACUCCGCAGAGCUGUGUGAGCCUGCUAUUAGCCAACGGUCUCUGUAAAAAUGCUCAGUGAUGCUGCAGAGGGAAACAGGAUAAAACUAAACUGCCUUGUGCCAAGUGAUAAAACCCUUUGCAUAUGGCUGUACUACUAUCCUUUGCCCUUAUAAUGCCUUUCACAGAAGGAUCUUGAGACAUUUUCCAGACGUUAGUUAAUUAAUCUCCAUAACAUCCCUGUGAAUUAGGUGACUUAUCUGCUGUUUUACAGACGGGUGAACUAAGGCGCGUAGAGGUUAAGUGUCUUUCCUGAAGUUAAACAGUGAAUUAGAGGGAAAUGUUGGGAGUAAAAUGAAGGGCUACCGUUCUGUUUAACAGCCAUGUUCUUUCAUCAACACUGUUCUUAGCCGAGAAAGCUACCUCUCUCUCUUUAGACCAUGUCCUGUUUAAAAGGAAAUUGGUUAAGUUCAAAAAUUUCUAUGGCUGUUUGCAAAACAUGAGCUCAUUAGUAAGUAUUUUACUUGUAAUUUAAAUACAUGACAUGGAUUCUUGGGCAUUAAGUGGAAGAUUGUGCUAUGUAAAACAGUGAUUUCUUCUUUGAAGCCAAUUAAAUCCUUCUCACAAGGGAACAAAACUGUGUUUAAAGACACCAACCGCAUGUGUGUGUUUUGUCAAAAAAACACUAACACCUCAAACUGUAAAGUAUGUUUUUGAAUGGCUUCCAAGUCUGGCAGUAUAAGCUCUCUUGCACCUUAG